rnacentral:ncRNA from 1 species
CAAAGAUUUGGUCCUAACCUUACUGUUACUUUUUGCUAAAAUUACACAUGCAAGUAUCAGCAUACCAGUGAAAACACCCUAGCAAUCCUAUCAGACAAAGGAGCCGGUAUCAGGCACACCAUGACAGCCCAAGACACCUAGCUUUGCCACACCCCCAAGGGCAUUCAGCAGUGAUAAAAAUUAAGCAAUAAGCGCAAGCUCGACUUAAUUAUAGCAAACACAGAGCUGGUCAAUCUCGUGCCAGCCGCCGCGGUUAUACAAGAAGCCCAAACUAACAGACAACCGGCGUAAAAUGUGACUAAAAAUUUAUCUACAAAAUUAAGGCGAACCUACAACUUAACUGUUAUACGCAAGUACACAUUAAUACAUUAUGAAAAUAACCUUAACACAAUAGAACUAUUUGAACCCACUAUCGCUAAGGCACAAACUGGGAUUAGAUACCCCACUAUGCUCAGCCCUAAACUUAGAUAUUUACUUACAAUAAUAUCCGCCAGAGAACUACGAGCCCAAACGCUUAAAACUCUAAGGACUUGGCGGUACCUCAACCUCCUAGAGGAGCCUGUUCUAUAAUCGAUAAUCCACGAUCUACCUCACCAUCCCUUGUCAAUUCAGCCUAUAUACCACCGUCAUCAGCUUACCCUGUGAAGGGUACCAAGUAAGCAAAAUAAUCUAAAUAACUAGCAAGUCAGGUCAAGGUGUAGCCAACUGAGAUGGAAGAAAUGGGCUACAUUUUCUUUAUUAGAAAUCACUUAACAGAAAGGACCAUGAAAUAAGUCCCAUAAGUAGGAUUUAGCAGUAAACUGGGAACAGAGAGCCCAAUUUAAGUCGGUCCUGAGGUGCGCACACACCGCCCGUCACCCUCCUCAAAUAAUCCUUAAGCAUAAAUAAACCGCAACAAACAAAUAGAUGAGGCAAGUCGUAACAAGGUAAGUGUACCGGAAGGUGUACUUGGAACAU